UACAGAGGGUGCAAGCGUUAAUCGGAUUUACUGGGCGUAAAGCGUGCGUAGGCGGUUCGCUAAGUCGGUUGUGAAAUCCCUGGGCUUAACCUGGGAACUGCAGUCGAUACUGGCGGACUAGAGUACGGUAGAGGGUGGCGGAACUCCGGGUGUAGCGGUGAAAUGCGUAGAUAUCCGGAAGAACACCGAUGGCGAAGGCGGCAUCCUGGACCGGUAUUGACGCUGAGGCGCGAAAGCCAGGGGAGCAAACGGG
rnacentral:rRNA from 1 species